rnacentral:misc_RNA from 1 species
AGGAAACAAUUAUCAUCUUCAGUUUUGAGAGACUUAAGAAAGUUUUUCAUUGUCACUUGCUUGCAAAUUGUAUUUGCAACAUUUUAAUCUUUUUAAGAUUAAGGGCCUAUAGCUCAGUUGGUUAGAGCACACGCCUGAUAAGCGUGAGGUCGGUGGUUCAAGUCCAUUUAGGCCCACCAUAACCACAAAUAGGCAAAAUCUUAAAAAAGCUCUUUGAAAAGUAGAUAAACGAAGGUUAAAAA